CUCAUCAUAGAUGUUUCUCUCCCUCUCUCUUCUUCUCUGAAAUCAAUAAAAAUAUAUUUAAAAAAUAAAGUCUGAAAAGUGACCUCUGGUUUUAGACACAAGGGAGUAAUUAAUGAUGAGUAGUUUUGUGGGAUGGUAGGGCAGGAGUGUGCUGGCAAAUGUUAACAACCAACUUUCAAAAAAAGUGUCCACUUAUGAAUGAACAUAAGUUUAUUACAAAUUUCACUGAUAUAACGGAUAUGUAACAGAAUGCACAAAUAAAAUAUACAAUAUUCUUUAUUCUAUAUUCCACUUUCAUAUCCAUGAUUUUAUAAAUGGAGUUGUAUCCAUUUAUGUAGUUUCAACAUGAAUGUUGUUUGAUAUUUUUAUUUCCAUUUUCAAGUAAGACAAAAAGUGAAACAAUGAAGAUAUGUUGAAACUUCUGGUUCCUCAGUGACUUGAGUCACUUCUUUGUUAUUCUUGUCCGAAAUGCAUAAUCUCAAUCUAAACAUGAGAAAACACUAGACAAAUCUGAUAAUAGUUUAUAAAUCCUGGAAGAAUAUUUCCUCAAUUUUUAUGAAGGGCUGCCAGGGGAAAGAAAUAUGGACAGCGAAAGGUUAUGUAUGUGUGAGGCAGCACCUGAGAGGCAACACCAGAAAGCAUCUUUUAGGAUGCCUUUAGAUUUUUUAGAAUGCCCUGGUUCCAUCUUCCCAACAUACACCAAACCAGGAAGCAUCUAUCUUGUGACAAGUUACAACUUUUGUAGUUUGUAUGUAUAAUACUUAAUCGGUAUAUGUGUUUUAAUAACCUUUUAAACAUGUUCUUGCCAUGUGCUGGCAGGCAGAGGUGGGAUAUUGCUCCCCUGGGAACAAGUUUGCCAGGUUUCAGGGUGGGAGCUCCAACCACCAGGAAAAGCCCCGUUGAACAGGUGGCCUUUCUUGCUAUAGUGAGGUAGAAGGUUAGAGAAUAGACCAACUGUGACACCAACGACGGUCAACAUUACCGUUUUAUAGAAAACUAAAGAAACACAAAACGAUUCUUUGUUCAUUCAAGUUUUCCAAAGCUGCUUCUUUUAAAUAUUAAUAGCGAAAACUUGGAGGUCAGAUACAAAAUACGCUGUGAAACACCACAGCAAGGCAAGGGUGUGGAAAUCAAACGCUUAACAUCCUGGCAAGUAACUCCCUACUACGAACGCAUAAAGGGGGAAGAUCGUCAGGAA